rnacentral:rRNA from 1 species
GUCUAUGGCCAUACCACCCUGAACGCGCCCGAUCUCGUCUGAUCUCGGAAGCUGAACAGGGUCGGGCCUGAUUAGUACUUGGAUGGGAGAAGAGCAGCUGGGUCCGAGGCA